UACGGAGGGGGCUAGCGUUGUUCGGAAUUACUGGGCGUAAAGCGUGCGCAGGCGGUUUUGUAAGCCAGAUGUGAAAUCCCCGGGCUUAACCUGGGAAUGGCAUUUGGGACUGCAAGGCUGGAGUGUGGCAGAGGAGACUGGAAUUCCUGGUGUAGCAGUGAAAUGCGUAGAUAUCAGGAGGAAUACCAGAGGCGAAGGCGGCGACCUGGACAGUUACUGACACUCAACUGCGAAAGCGUGGGGAGCAAACAGG
rnacentral:rRNA from 1 species